GGGGCCCGUUCUUCGUACCUCGCUAAGUAGGUUAGCCGGAUUAGAUUGUUGACGAUUUCGCGUGAUCCUGGAUCAGUCGGUUCCCCGAAGCUCAUCCGGGACUUGCUGUCAUAGCAACAGAGCCGUAAGCGUAAACCUGCUCGGGAGCAGGUUCACUUUAUGUAAACAGGAUUAGAUCGCGGCCACGCAGUGAUGGGACGUUCUGUAUCGAGGCUUUGAAGCUUGUGUCGAGUAAUGGAGGGGGCGUUUCCGCGAUGCGCGUAUCGAGGCUUGCUUCAUUUAUGGGAGGAGCUGAAAAUGAUGACGUCCGAAGCCUCGCUGCCCGGCUGUACCACGUGACUGGUUCAUGAAGUGGUUUGAACUUUGCCGCGAGAUAUGACAGCGAUAUAAACCCUCAGACUUCAUUCAAAAUGUGGGUGUUUGAUGGAGAGUUGUUAGUGAGAGUUUGGAGACAGUUUGGAGGUUUAUGAGAGUGAGGAGAGAAAGUCAGGAGAGAAUGGAGCCAGCUAAGAAGAGGAGGAUGUCCUCCCCUGUGUGGGAACAUUUUGAUCUUAUUCCUCCCAACAAGGUGAAGUGUUUGCUAUGUGCCAGGCAGCUGGGAUAUAACAACACCUCAUCCAUGCUUAGGCACUACAGAGCUUUGCAUGAGAAUAAGGGGGACACCGAUUGUGGAGCAAGACCAGGAGAACAAUCUCCAAUAGAUGAAGACCUGGUUAGCAACAAUGCUAGUGCUAGCGGCGCUAACGGCUGCAGACAGGAAGAUACUGCCAGCACCGGAAACGUGCUCGUCAUCUCCGAGCAUGAAGUAAGGAGAGCCUUCAAGAGAGUGAACACCAGGAAAGCAGCAGGACCAGACGGCAUCCCAGGUCGUAUCCUCAGAGACUGCGCAUACCAGCUAGCUCCUGUGUUCACUGAGAUAUUCAACAUCUCUUUAUCUCAGUCGGUGAUCCCCACAUGCUUCAAAGAGUCCAUCAUUGUUCCUGUCCCGAAGAAACCCCACCCUGCUUCUCUCAAUGACUAUCGCCCUGUAGCCCUCACCUCAGUAGUGAUGAAGUGCUUUGAACGCCUGGUCAGAGACUUCAUCAUUUCUUCACUACCAGACACACUGGACCCACUACAGUUCGCUUACCGUCCAAAUCGUUCCACAGACGAUGCCAUCUCUCAUCUCCUCCACACAUCACUCACUCACUUGGACACUAGAAGGGGG
ensembl:lncRNA